rnacentral:sRNA from 1 species
AAAAACGUUUCGAGACCCAUCUGACUGUCAAUGUAUACAGGAGGGCGUUUAGUAUCUAUCAGCACUGACAUUUCUCCCGGCAUCCAGUAGCUAAUUAUGGGAUUGAUCUCGGUGGACUUCAAACUGAAAGCCUCUCGGAGUGUACGGACAAAGUCCGUGUACGUCAUGGUUUCCUGAACGCGUACACAACGACCAAAGAUGCCUUCCUCAGGUUCAAAUUUCCAUUCUCCUUCUUUGCAUUUCCACUCACCGACCAUAGUAAAUACGGGAAUAUCCAUAACCCACCUGCAUCAUAAAUUCAGGAGACACACAUUAAAUGCAACUGAAAAAUACUAUACAUAUAAAAAACAAAUGGAAUGUCGAUACUACACAUUUAUAAACCUAAAUACCAAUUAUCAUUUGACUAUUUUAAACAAACAAAUAUAGAUUUUGCAAAUUUUCUGAUAAAAAAAUGGAGUUAAAACACAAUCAAGAUCCUAAUAUGACAUAACAAAAAACUUCUUAAAAGAACUUCAUUACUUACACGAGCAAUGCUUGUUUUGGCUCCAAACUUGGUACAAAAACAAGAUCAACACUUCUUCAACAGCAAUGUACGUUCUUAAUUUUUUAUUAAUUAUUA